rnacentral:lncRNA from 1 species
CUUGCUCUUCAAACUAAGAUAAGCUAAUAACUUUGGACACAAUUUCACUCCUCUGCAUUCACCAAAUGUCCAAUUACAUAUCCUCCCUGCCUGGACCUUCAGAACAAUAUAAAACUGAAUGAAGGCUAUGAAAGAAGUCACAGGAGGAUUUUUGCAGAGCUUCCAUCCAGUUCAGAAACAAAGCAAUUCAAUACAUGUCUUCAAGAUUUCUAAAGGCAAUGACUUAAUUCUAAGUUCCAUGAAAGCAGGCAUUGUGUGAAUUUCUCCUGCAUCUGGAACUGGCCUAGCACACCAAGAAAGGAACACCAGUAAGAAAGAAUAUGACAGAGUUACCUGUCGAUCCAUCUUUCUCAGAAUGUACUGCAUUCUUUCUACAUUGGAAACAAGUUCUGGUUUGAUUGAAAAGUGUGGCCUCUGAAGAUUGUUGGUACCCUCAUUUAGUUAGAAGCUUAAUAAGGUAACUGUGAUAGUUUGAAUGUUUGUCCCCUCCAAAACCCACAUUGAAAUUUAAUUGUCAUUGUAACCGUAUGAAGAGGUAGGACCUAUAAGAGGUGAUUAGAUCAUGAAUAGACCAUGCCAUUAUCACAGGAUUGUGUUCCUUAUCAUGAAAGUGGAUUUACUCCCUAUUGCUCUCUCUCUUGCCCCCUUUUGCUCUUCUGCCUUCCACCAUGGGGUGGACUUACCAAUAGGGCCUUCACUAGAUACUGGCCUUUUGACUUUGGACUUUCCAGCCUACAGACUGGUAAGCUAAUAAAUUUCUGUUCUUUAUUGAUUACCCAGUGCGUGGUGUUCUGUUACAGCAACACAAAACAGAUUAAUACACUUACCUUGUACUUACUGUGAAUCUCGCUAAAUUCCCAAAAAUCGUGGGUUCACUAGAACUUUGUGAUUGUGGGGUGUUAUGAACACCAAAUGCAAUAAUACACUGUAAAUUUAUAUAAUGCAUUUGGAAAGCAAGCUGUCGAUACUAUAAAAAGACAUUUAAAAAUCUGCUCUUAAUUCAGGAGUCUUAAUUUCUUGGAAAUGUAGCAUAAAGAAAUAUUGAAACAAAAGUAGAAAGCUAUAUGUACAAAAUUGUUUUUUACUGUAUUAAUUAUCCAAUAUUAGUGGAAACUAGAAUGAAUCACUGUCCAAUGAAGUAAUUAAAUAUUAUACAAUCAUGAAAAUAGCAAAAAGCAUAUGUAAAAUCAUGGUAGCAUGUUAAGUAAGUCAAAAUCUUAAUAAAAAUUAACACACACUGGGAUUAGAGCUGUGUAAAAUUAUGAAUGCUUUUGGAUAAAUAUCAUUGGGGAACACAUGAAAAAUAGAAAAGUUAUUCCAGGUAAUAGGAUCAUAUUAAAUUUGUUUCCAUUUUGCUGAACAUUCUCUAAUAUUGACUUUUUGUGGUAAAACAAACACAUAAACCAAAAAUUCAAGAGGCUUUCUGAAAUAAUUAUAGUCAAAUGUAUGGCAUUUGGAAUUGAGACUCAGGUUGGAGACCUGGCUCUCUUAUUUAUAUUUUUAUUUUUAUGUGAUUUAUAUUUAUAUUUAUCAUUUAUAUUUAUGUGAUUGUAGAUCAGUAACUUAAUUUUGUGAACCUUAAAUUCAUCAUCAGUUAAAUAAAGAUUUCCACUAGCUUUUUAGAGUCAUGAGAUUAAGAUGAUGUAUGUGAAAGUGUGUCUUUAUUUAACUUUUAAGUUAAGGGGUAUGUGUGUGUUUGUUAUACAGGUAAACUUGUG